rnacentral:lncRNA from 1 species
AGGACCCUGAAACACACGCCACCUAUCUUUGUGGGGAGGGAUAAUUGAAGAGCGCCAAACGUUUGCUUGACGGGAAGCUUUCUUCUGGUGUCAUCCGGAGAGCAGCCCCCCCCCCGCCGCCCAUACCGCCACGACCCACGCUCCGGAUCGAACUGGACACAAUUGCCCCCUCCGAUCCGAAUCAAAGAGGGCUUUUUUUCCAUUGACACCUUCUCCGGGGCAGACAAACGAAGCGUCUCCCUUGCCUUGGCUUCGUCCAAGCCUCCAGUCCCAUCCCUUGGCAGGAAGUUGCCGUGGGGGAAAAGGGAGGGAGAAAAAGAAAAGGAGAGACUUACUUUCGAGUAAACUUGGAGAGGCUUGGGAGACGCACGUGUGAGAUUUGCAGCACGAGGCU